AUUACAUUCAUUGUUUAAUAAAAAGCUGACAGGCCAGUCGCCAUGCAUGAAGUGUAGAUGGGACAGCCAGACACAGAGGAUUCUGGGAGGAAGAAGGGUGGAAUCAGGGGAGUAGCCAGCCAUGAACCUUCCAUGCUAAUAAAGAUGACUGUGGAUAAAGUUGUAACAUUAGGUUCUGACUGGGCAACAAUCUGACAAAUGACACUGAGCUGGAAUGAUUUUGAAGGAGAAUCUGCCUGCAUCGCUUCCUGUAUUCUGUUUUAAAAUUCAGUUCUUGUGAAGACAAAGGUUCUGCUUACACAAAUGGACUUGAGAGAAACAUUGUUCCCAGCUUAAUUACCCGACAAGAUGGAGUCAGUCUCUAGGUAGAAACUGUUCAAAUGUGGCAGACAGGCUUGCAGUCAGCUUGCUUUAGAAGGCUUUGCCAAACUGUCCCGAAGAUGGCGCCACGUGCUCAGCUUUAGAAAAGCCUGCCUGUGCCUUUCAGGCUGGUGUGUGAAAUCACCAAGCUCCAAACACGGACACAGAUCUGUAGGGACUGUUGCCUGGAAAUACCAUUCCUCUGUUAAAGCGUGAAGAUUAAAAGUAUGAUUGGAUUAUCUCUAAUUUUUUCAUUUGGUGGAGAGAGUACAGAAAAAGAUAAUUCAAGAAGUAUUUCUUUGAGGUUAAAUCUAUAGCAGGCUCUGAGUGACCCAAGCCACUUCUGACUUGGUUUUCUGAUGUGUUGUGUCAAAGGCAUGACCAUGGGUCAAGUGGACUGAGCCAGAAACAUGAAUGACAUCCUGGGUAUUUCCUUAUUUUAGCUUCUCCCAAUAGUGAUGUCAUGUACAGUCAACCACACAAUGCCUUCUAUUCUAGGUCCUAAAUGGCUCAGGUGUGUCCACAACUCUCCAUUCUCGAAGCUACCAGCAAUGUUGCCUGUGCCCUGGCCCAUUACAGGAUGGUGGUAGCUACUCCAUUUAAUCACACCUGGCUCCUCUCCAUGGGCUCCUUACUCCCCAUCAAGAGAGAGUUUUCAAAAACAUCAUUAAUCCCCCUACUGGUAAUCUCUGGCCCCUAUAGCUUUCUUAUGUAAC
ensembl:lncRNA